CCACCCCCCCCCAGUCCGUCCGUCAGCGCACGCGACCGGCGCUGCCGCCGCCCCGGGACCCGCCCGGCGGCCGCCAACCCGCAAGUGACUCUCAUGACUACAUGAGAAGCAGCAAGCAGCAGAUCUUCUGAGCUUGGACUCUUGUAUUCCUGGUGAGCUUCUAAGCUGAUGAAUCAAGUGCUUUGGGUAGAAAAACAAUUUCAGGAAGAAGAAUGCCAACACGAAUAUGAAGUGAACCAGUUCCUAUGCUUGCCACAGCACGUGGAUGCUUGUAUCGAAUGCUUAGCAACGGGGACUUGACUCUCACCAAACUGCUUCCUUGGACAAGAUGAAGCCAAGGAGGAGCUUUCUGACGUGCUGGAGUCACCUUGACUGCUGCCCAAUUUAAAGUUGAUGUUAGACUGUGCCCCAGCUGCCUGGCGAGAUGAAAGAAGUGGUGUUGUGGUCACCUGAGGAGGUGACAAACUGGUUAACCGAGAAUGCUGUGCCAGAGUAUUGUGAGCCAUUGAAGAGCUUCACCGGGCAGGAUUUGAUCAAUCUCACAGAGGAGGAUUUUAAGAAGACGCCUCUCUCCCGGGUGUCUUCUGACAGCGGACAGCGGUUGUUGCACAUGAUUGAAACUUUAAAAAUGGCUCACCACAUUGAGGCUCACAAAAAUGGGCACAUCAACGGGCACAUUCACAUCAGUGUGAGCAACACCACACGGGAGAAUGGCUUUAGCAGUAAAAUGAAGCUGAAUGGGAUGCCAAAUGGAUAUAAGAAGGAGAUGAUAAGGAUCCCCAUGCCAGAGCCAGAGCGCUCACAGUAUCCUAUGGAAUGGGGAAAGACUUUCCUGGCUUUUAUUUAUGCACUUUUUUGUUUCAUCUUUACCACAGUGACUAUCUCAGUCGUUCACGAACGAGUGCCUCCCAAGGAGGUGCAGCCUCCCCUACCAGAUGCAUUUUUUGAUCGCUUUGAUCGGGUGCAAUGGGCUUUUUCUAUUUGUGAAAUCAACGGCAUGAUCCUUGUAGGACUGUGGUUUGUUCAGUGGCUGCUCUUAAAAUACAAGUCUAUAAUUAGCAGAAGGUUUUUCUGUAUAGUUGGCACACUCUACCUGUAUCGGUGUAUUACAAUGUAUGUGACUACGCUCCCAGUACCUGGCAUGCAUUUCAAUUGUUCUCCGAAGCUUUUUGGAGACUGGGAAUCUCAUCUGCGAAGGAUAAUGAAGUUGAUUGCUGGUGGAGGAUUGUCCAUCACAGGAUCCCACAACAUGUGCGGCGACUAUCUGUACAGCGGUCACACCGUCAUAUUAACUCUCACGUACUUAUUUAUCAAAGAGUACUCCCCACGGCGACUCUGGUGGUAUCACUGCCUUUGCUGGGCACUCAGCGUGGUUGGGAUGGUUUGCAUCCUCCUUGCUCAUGACCACUACACUGUGGAUGUAGUGGUGGCUUACUACAUCACUACAAGACUUUUCUGGUGGUAUCACACAAUGGCCAACCAGCAAGUGCUAAAAGAAGCUUCCCAAACAAACCUCCUUGCAAGGGUCUGGUGGUACAAGCCCUUCCAGUACUUUGAAAAGAAUGUCCAAGGAAUCGUACCUCGCUCCUACCACUGGCCCUUCCCCUGGCCGGCGCUGCACCGGGGCAGGCAGGUGAAAUACAGCCGCCUGGCGAACGACACGUAACAGCGUGUCGACGGACAGAGUGAAGGGAAAGGACCUGUCCCAAGUGCUAAGAACUUCGUACGAGAAGAUGCCAUAAAAAAAUCAGCCACCCCCUAACUCUUUCUUUUAACAGUUCCCUUGACUUAACCUAUUCAGUUACCUGGCCAUCAAAUUUGGACUGUAUGGAAACUGCAUUGAUUUCGAAUUGCUGUUCGCGUUGGGCAAAUCAGUGCCUUAUCUGAAAUAAAUGCUAUGCAAUAGAUUCUGGUCGUGCGGGAGCCAAGCGGAUGGGAGGAGCCUUCCUGGGAGCCAGCACCAGGGCUUGAAAAAUCUACCCCCAAACUGCUGGGACGGAGCACGGGGCAGGUGAACACGUGCCACGCCAGGAUCUGUCAGUCCUGUUGCUUAAAAGACAAAAAACAAAGUGACGUUUCUGCCCGGGGGACAAGAAGGGUUCCCCAGUCUUGUGCCAGAGCUCUUCUGCUUUGCUCGUGCUGCUUGGCUCUUCCUUGGAGCGAUGCUUUCGCCGGGCUUUCCCAUGACCCAGGCUGAGUGCGAGGAGCCUGGACUGAGUCUGAGCGCAGAACAGGGAUCGGCACUCGCUGCCCGGCACGGUGGCGUUGGUUCAGGACUUUCCGCUCACUCAGUAUUUUAUUGGCUGGAAGGAAAGCAGAGUGGACAUUCUCUGUCUCCCCGCGCUGCUGUCUGCCCUGCGCCUGGAGGAGGGAGCCGUACCCGCCAGCAGUGGGAGAGAGGCUGCUUUGUGAUUUUUCUGACCCUCCGGUGUAUUUCCACACUGCACUUGGACAGAGGCAUCGAAACAUCCCUUCCCAUUCCAUCUGGCAGCCGGUCGGGUAUUAGACAGCAGCAAGGAAACGGCCGGGGCUUGGUUGCCUGGAGAGUCCUCGCUCGUGUGCAUCCUGGGGUAACGUUUGGAUAACUCUGGUAGCCAUCCCAGGUUAUUAUGGCCAUUCGGAAGCCAUCAUCGUUCUGGGUUUGCUACCUUUGCAAAAGCCCUUCUCCCCAUUCAACCUUCCUAAACUUUCUGUGCACACUCCCAGCUGUGUUGUCCAGCAGGAAAGUCACCAUUUACCACCACAAACAGGUCAGAUCCCGCUACCAGGAGCAGCUUCCAGCUAUGCCAUGGACCCGUGGCAUUUCCCCAGCUCAGCUUGCUCUCUCCCAGUAGCUGCAAGUACCUGAACGCCGUCUGCUGCAGAGCUGGUGGUAUCCGUCCCAGAAAAUAUCUUCACCCUCCCAACCAGCUAUUGAGGACGUGUGCAAGGACAGGUGCUUGAAGCCCUUGAGGGGUGCUGGGUAACCCAGAGCUGGAACUGCAGUGAGUUUUUGUUGUGCAGCUAUUUAUGGGUCUCCUCUUAUUGUUUUCUGUCCCUUUGGCAUCACUUUUGUCCUCCUCUUCUUUCCCCACUGAAGGUUUAGGUUUCACCUCUACCCACAGAAAGGAGUCCUCAGCCUAACUGAUGUAUUUGGAGCUGUAUUUAGCCACGUUUCCUUGUGUUGCUCAAGCCCAAGUUCAGACAGCUCCUGCGAGCAGACAAGCGGUGUGUCCACAGCCAAAGCUCCUGUUGAACCCAAUGGAAUGAGCUCUCCCAGCUCAGGAGUGGAAGAUCUUACUUUACCAGAAGAACUAGAGGUUUCACGAAGUGAUAGAGAGCAGCUGCCCUAAUGCCCACCUGGACUGGUAACCUGUUCCCCAUGCUCAAGUUUUCCAAAGAGGUACUUGAGGAGCUUUAAGUCCAGCUCAGAACUUGGUGAAACACCUGAAUUGCUGCCUUGGCUGCUGCUGGAGACGGAAGAUACUCCAGAAGAAAAUCACUGCAAAUACUGGGUGUUGGGCAACCAACUGGAGAGUUCGAGAGAGAUCUUGUGCUACCACUUGGUGCUUCUGGGCCGGUCUGCAUGCCAGCCUGGUCGUGGGGAUGUACUUGAGCAUGGCCACAGCGUCCAUGGGUUCAGCCCUUCAUCCGGCAGAGCUGCCUGCUGCUACUUGGACCGAGCAUGUGAGUGUUUUGACCAGGAAAGAUGAGGAAGAAAAUUCACGUGGUGCUGCCUGGAUCACCUCCUGGUACGUCCUUGC